rnacentral:lncRNA from 1 species
UUUGUUCAUAAGCGGUGUUUACAGGAGUCACAAGAUCUAAUCACAUGCGUAGAAACAGAAACUUCAACUAAAGAGAAAAGUGAAAACCAAAACAAAAAAUAUGCUAUUAAAACAGAAAGACCACAUGGCCCGUAAGCGAUGUUUACAGGAGUCACAAGAUCUAUCACAUGCGUAGAAACAGAAACUUCAACUAAAGAGAAAAGUGAAAACCAAAACAAAAAUAUGCUAACAUUUAAACAGAAAGACCACAUGGCCCGUAAGCGAUGUUUACAGGAGUCACAAGAUUAGAAUUACAACGUUCACAACUAAGGAGAAAGUGAAAAGUGAAAUAAACAACAUGUUAUUAACACAGAAAUCUGAUUUACCCAUAGUUGUAUUCCGGAGACAAAAGUAUACUCUUCCAGUUAUGAGCAAACACACAAACAUCAGAAAAGCAAAUCAAAACCAAAAUCAAGUACAUAGAAAGGCCUCAAAUGAUGUGAGGCAAUACCAGAUAAUGUCGAUAUCAUACGAGCAGAAACAAUAUCCGUUGUAUAAUCUUACUUCA